UACGUAGGGUGCAAGCGUUGUCCGGAAUUAUUGGGCGUAAAGAGCGCGUAGGCGGUCCGGUAAGUCAGCUGUGAAAGUCAUGGGCUCAACCCUUGAAAGCCGGUUGAUACUGUCGGGCUAGAGUCCGGAAGAGGCGAGUGGAAUUCCCGGUGUAGCGGUGAAAUGCGCAGAUAUCGGGAGGAACACCAAUGGCGAAGGCAGCUCGCUGGGACGGUACUGACGCUGAGACGCGAAAGCGUGGGGAGCAAACAGG
rnacentral:rRNA from 1 species